GACGAACGCUGGCGGCGUGCCUAAUACAUGCAAGUAGAACGCACAGUUUAUACCGUAGCUUGCUACACCAUAGACUGUGAGUUGCGAACGGGUGAGUAACGCGUAGGUAACCUGCCUGGUAGCGGGGGAUAACUAUUGGAAACGAUAGCUAAUACCGCAUAAUAUUAAUUAUUGCAUGAUAAUUAAUUGAAAGGUGCAAUUGCACCACUACCAGGUGGACCUGCGUUGUAUUAGCUAGUAGGUGAGGUAACGGCUCACCUAGGCGACGAUACAUAGCCGACCUGAGAGGGUGAUCGGCCACACUGGGACUGAGACACGGCCCAGACUCCUACGGGAGGCAGCAGUAGGGAAUCUUCGGCAAUGGACGAAAGUCUGACCGAGAAACGCCGCGUGAGUGAAGAAGGUUUUCGGAUCGUAAAGCUCUGUUGUAAGAGAAGAACGGGUGUGAGAGUGGAAAGUUCACACUGUGACGGUAUCUUACCAGAAAGGGACGGCUAACUACGUG
rnacentral:rRNA from 1 species